AGAUUGAACGCUGGCGGCAGGCCUAACACAUGCAAGUCGAGCGGUAGAGAGGUGCUUGCAUCUCUUGAGAGCGGCGGACGGGUGAGUAAUGCCUAGGAAUCUGCCUAGUGGUGGGGGAUAACGUUCGGAAACGGACGCUAAUACCGCAUACGUCCUACGGGAGAAAGCGGGGGACCUUCGGGCCUCGCGCCAUUAGAUGAGCCUAGGUCGGAUUAGCUAGUUGGUGAGGUAAUGGCUCACCAAGGCGACGAUCCGUAACUGGUCUGAGAGGAUGAUCAGUCACACUGGAACUGAGACACGGUCCAGACUCCUACGGGAGGCAGCUAGUGGGGAAUAGUUCGGACGAUGGGGACGAAAGUCCUAGGAUCCAGCCAUCGCCGCGUGUGUGAAGGAGGUCUUCGGAUUAGUAAAGCUAACGUUUAAGGUUGGGAAGGUAAGGGUUUGUAAACCCUUAAGUACCGUUAGUACUAACGUUUUUGAACCGUUUACCGACAAGAAAUAAGCCAACCGGCUAACGUUCCGUAGCCUAGCAGCCGUACG
rnacentral:rRNA from 1 species